AUACGUAGGGGGCAAGCGUUAUCCGGAUUUACUGGGUGUAAAGGGCGCGUAGACGGAAGGCCAAGUCUGAUGUGAAAGCCCGCGGCUCAACUGCGGGACUGCAUUGGAAACUGGUCAUCUGGAGUGCAGGAGUGGUAAGCGGAAUUCCUAGUGUAGCGGUGAAAUGCGUAGAUAUUAGGAGGAACACCGGUGGCGAAGGCGGAUUCCUGGACUGUAACUGGCGUUGAGGUGCGAACGCGUGGGGAGAAAACAGAAUUAGAUACCCGGGUAGUCCACGCUGUAAACGAUGAAUACUAGGUGUCGGGGUUCUAGAGACCUUCCGUGCCGCAGCAAACGCAAUAAGUAUUCCACCUGGGGAGUACGGUCGCAAGGCUGAAACUCAAAUGAAUUGGCGGGG
rnacentral:rRNA from 1 species